rnacentral:ncRNA from 1 species
AUCUUCGGGGUCGGGUGCAAGUCCCAACCGGCGGUAUAGUCCGCGACCCGCGGUGAGCAAUCAAAGCGGCUGAUUUGGUGUGAUUCCAAAACCGACAGUAAAGUCUGGAUGAGAGAAGAA